AGCGGAUGGGCUGGCAUACUCGGCUCUGCUAAAGAACGAGCUGCUAGGAGCCGGUAUCGAGAAAGUCCAGGACCCGCAGUCAGAAGAUCGCCGCCUGCAGCCGUCCACUCCUGCCAAAAGGAGCCUUUUUAGUUACUCUGUCAGUGCCAAGAGAGCUCUGCCAGAAGAGGAUGGAAAUACAGUAUCUCCAUAUUCUCUAUCACCUGUCAGUAGCAACAGCCAGAAACUGCUACGGUCGCCAAGGAAACCUACGCGCAAAAUAUCCAAAAUUCCUUUCAAAGUUCUGGAUGCUCCAGAGCUUCAGGAUGACUUCUACCUCAACCUUGUGGACUGGUCCUCUCUGAAUGUGCUCAGUGUUGGACUGGGUACCUGUGUCUACCUGUGGAGUGCCUGCACCAGCCAGGUGACACGUCUAUGUGAUCUUUCUGUAGAGGGAGAUUCAGUAACAUCCGUGGGCUGGUCUGAGAGGGUGAGUUUCUCAGUUAUCAUCGAGGUUACCAAAAAAAGUAUGGGU